rnacentral:lncRNA from 9 species
UCACACCUACUUGAGUGAUCCCUUUUCAUUCUUACUCUCUAUUGUCCUCUUGUUUUACUCCUCCCUCCUUUCUGCCACCCAUAAUUUACCAGGCCUUCAUUAAAACACACCCGGACUACUUCCUCAAUUAGCUCUCCUUGCCUCUUUCCAACCCUCCUGAGAGGCCUGCCCUUGGCGCCAGACUUCCCAUCUUCUCGAUGCCUCUCACUGUGUAAUGAUGUAAGGCCGAGGAACACACAAGGUUUCCAGCAGCCUUUCCAUCUUUGUAUUUCAAGUAGGCACUGCCUUCCUCAGCAAACCCAGUGGUUCCCCUCUGGCCAGCAUCCCAGUGGGUUUCAGGUCAGGUGGAACAUGCCCAACUUACUGGUCACCAUUAUAAUCUCACCAGGAUACCAUAUGUCUUAGACUAUGCUCCAUCUCAUCAAAGAGACUUCUGGUGUGUUUAACAAAAAGGAAAAACAGUGAAAAGAGGAGGUAACCCCAUUCUAUUUCUCUCUCGGUGACAAAUUGCUGGGAUCUACAAUUAUUUGAAGAUUCUAAAGAUAGAGCACUGAUGACCCAAAAGCUCUUCUCAAAUUUCAUUUAUUCUAAUAGCUUCUGAAAAACCACUCCCAGGAGUAUUAACUCUUAUUGUAAAGGUAGGAAGUUUAUGCAAUUUAUAGUAGUGCAUUGUAUUUUGUCACAUUGACUUUAUCUCACAAGAGCCUGUUUGUGUCUACUCUGCUUUGGUCAUGAGAAAUGCAUUAUCCAAUUACUUAUGUAGUCUCUUUGCUACUAUGGAAAUAGGCAAUUCAAUUCAUUGGUUAAGUCGCUAAAACGGAUGUCAUUGGAUCUCUGUUAAGUCUGACUAAGAUGCAUAACUCUGAAUAAUGCUUUGAUGUGUACUUCCUUCUAUGACUUAGGAAUUUACCUGUUGUUGAAUUGGCACUGAUGAAUUUUAGUACAUGAUUAUGCAAUUCCCCUAAGGCUUGUAAAUAAAAC